rnacentral:misc_RNA from 1 species
AGCAGCCGCGGUAAUUCCAGCUCCAAUAGCGUAUAUUAAAGUUGUUGCAGUUAAAAAGCUCGUAGUUGAAUUUCGGGGUUAGCAGGUCGGUCGUGCCAUCGGUAUGAACUGGUCUCGCUGAUCCCUCCCUCUUGACGAACUGUGAUGCCAUUAAUUUGGUGUCGCAGGGAAUCAGGACUGUUACUUUGAAAAAUUGAGUGUUUAAAGCAGGCUCACGCUUGAAUACAUUAGCAUGGAAUAAUGAAAUAGGACGUUUGGUCCUAUUUUGUUGGCUUCUAGGAUUGACGUAAUGAUUAAUAGGGAUAGUUGGGGGCAUUAGUAUUCAAUUGUCAGAGGUGAAAUUCUUGGAUUUAUUGAAGACUAACUACUGCGAAAGCAUUUGCCAAGGAUGUUUUCAUUAAUCAAGAACGAAAGUUAGGGGAUCGAAGACGAUCAGAUACCGUCGUAGUCUUAACCAUAAACUAUGCCGACUAGGGAUCGGAUGAUGUUAAUUUUAAUGACUCAUUC